AGAAUUACACUGGGAGGAGAAAAAACCCCUCAAAAUCCCACCAUGGCUGGUCCACCACCAUUCGCACAUUCCACAGACCCCCUCUCCCUCUCCCAGUACCCGUCGCCAGCAGGCCUCUCUCCAGCAGGCCACCACCAGUCCUUACCAAGGUCAACGGGAGAGCUGGGGUGAGGACGUGGGUUGCUAGGGAGCACCCAAACAAAUGCUGUGGCAUAAACAGAGGAGGGUGCUGAAAGAUUCCGAGAGCCAGCGACAUGCCUUGUAGGAGCAGACACGGAAUGAAGUCACAAACAUACCUUUCAACCAGACAAUUCAUUUACAGCGAAAUCAGCAAGCUGGCAUGGAAGCAGUCGGGGCUCAACACAUCAUUGUGCAGAGUCAAAGUUUCACCGAGAAGGUGAAUUAAAGUGACAAUGUUAUGUACAUUUAGCCUACUCCCACAGAAAAGAUAUUUAUGCAAAUGUUUAAUCAAUAUGUGCUGAAAAAUCACUUUAAAUGACAUCCAAGCAUGGGCUUGAUAGGUCUGUUCCAAUCAAGGCUUGGUGAAAUGAACAAGACGAAGUGAAACGUUGUCGGUGCUGGGAAAAUCCCAAAAGGCACUGACCAUUCCAUAAUUAAACAGCCUAAAUAUCAAUCGAUGGAAAGACUGUAUAACACUGCAACAGCAGAGGUCUGUGUUUCACUGAAGCUCAAUCAUGGAAACUACAUCAUUAAAGUGAAGUGAAAUCUUA